rnacentral:rRNA from 1 species
GACGAACGCUGGCGGCGUGCCUAAUACAUGCAAGUUGAGCGCUGAAGGUUGGUACUUGUACCUACUGGAUGAGCAGCGAACGGGUGAGUAACGCGUGGAUAACCUGCCUUUGAGCGGGGGACAACUUUUGGAAACGAAUGCUAAUACCGCAUAAAAACUUUAAACACAAGUUUUAAGUUUGAAAGAUGCAAUUGCAUUACUCAAAGAUGAUCCCGCGUUGUAUUAGCUAGUUGGUGAGGUAAAGGCUCACCAAGGCGAUGAUACAUAGCCGACCUGAGAGGGUGAUCGGCCACACUGGAACUGAGACACGGUCCAAACUCCUACGGGAGGCAGCAGUAGGGAAUCUUCGGCAAAGGGCGAAAGCCUGACGGAGCAACGCCGCGUGAGUGAUGAAGGUUUUCGGAUCGUAAAACUCUGUUAGUAGGGAAGAACGUAGGUGUGAGUGAAAAGGUAAGCAAGGACGGUAACCAACCAGGAAGGGACGGGUUAAUUAGGG